rnacentral:rRNA from 1 species
GCGAGCAGCCAUAUCACCCUGAAGCUCCCAACUAGCAGCCCACUGAAGCUCAGCAGGUGUGAGCCUGGUCAGUACCUGGAUGGGAGACUCCUGGGAAGCUAUGGUUGCUGCUGAAA